rnacentral:miRNA from 1 species
UUCUCAACCAACUUUGGCCACU